UAGAGUUUGAUCAUGGCUCAGAUUGAACGUUGGCGGCAGGCCUCAACCAUGGAAGUCGAACGAGAAAGGCCCUUCGGGGCUGAGUAAAGUGGCGGACGGGUGAGUAACGCGUAGGAAUCUACCCGGCAGUGGGGGAUAACUCGGGGAAACUCGAGCUAAUACCGCAUGCGACCGGUGCCUUAGGGUGUCGAUGAAAGCGGGGGAUCUCGCCGUGGCGGCUUUCGAGCCGUAGCGGAAGACCUCGCGCUGUCGGAGGAGCCUGCGUUGGAUUAGCUAGUUGGUGGGGUAAUGGCCUACCAAGGCGACGAUCCAUAGCUGGUCUGAGAGGACGAUCAGCCACACUGGGACUGAGACACGGCCCAGACGGCUACGGUCGGCAGCAGGUGGGAAUCUUGCACAAUGGGCGAAAGCCUGAUGCAGCCAUGCCGCGUGUGUGAAGAAGGCCUUAGGGUUGUAAAGCACUUUCAGUGGCGAAGAAAAGGUCGGCGUUAAUAGCGCCGCCCCUUGACGUUAACCACAGAAGAAGCACCGGCCAACUCCGUGCCAGCAGCCGCGGUAAUACGGAGGGUGCGAACGUUAAUCGGAAUUACUGGGCGUAAAGCGCGCGUAGGCGGUUUGUUAAGUGGGAUGUGAAAUCCCCGGGCUCAACCUGGGAACUGCGUUUCAAACUGACAAACUAGAGUUCAGUAGAGGGAGGUGGAAUUUCCUGUGUAGCGGGUGAAAUGCGUAGAUAUAGGGAGGAACACCAGUGGCGAAGGCGGCCUCCUGGACUGAAACUGACGCUCAAACGCGAAAGCGUGGGGAGCAAACAGGAUUAGAUACCCUGGUAGUCCACGCCGUAAACGAUGAGAACUAGCCGUUUGGCCCCUUGAGGGCUUAGUGGCGCAGCUAACGCGAUAAGUUCUCCGCCUGGGGAGUACGGCCGCAAGGUUGAAACUCAAAUGAAUUGACGGGGGCCCGCACAAGCGGUGGAGCAUGUUGUUUAAUUCGAGGCAACGCGAAAAACCUUACCACCACUUGACAUCCACGGAACUUUCCAGAGAUGGAUUGGUGCCUUCGGGAACCGUGUGACAGGUGCUGCAUGGCUGUCGUCAGCUCGUGUCGUGAGAUGUUGGGUUAAGUCCCGUAACGAGCGCAACCCUUAUCCUUAUUUGCCAGCGGAUCAAGCCGGGAACUCUAAGGAGACUGCCGGUGACAAACCGGAGGAAGGCGGGGACGAGGUCAAGUCAUCAUGGCCCUUAUCGUGGUGGGCUACAAACGUGCUACAAUGGGCGGUACAAAGGGCUGCAAUCCCGCGAGGGGGAGCGAAUCCCCAAAACCGCUCGUAGUCCGGAUAGGAGUCUGCAACUCGACUCCUUGAAGCCGGAAUCGCUAGUAAUCGCGAAUCAGCAUGUCGCGGUGAAUACGUUCCCGGGCCUUGUACACACCGCCCG
rnacentral:rRNA from 1 species